rnacentral:tRNA from 1 species
GCCGUUGUAGCACAAUUGGCAGUGCAUCCGAUUUGUAAUCGGAAGGUUGACGGUUCGAUUCCGUCUGGCGGCUCCA